UNUUCUUACUUCAGAGGAAUAGGCCCUAG
rnacentral:piRNA from 1 species